rnacentral:rRNA from 1 species
UAAGCGACUAAGCGUACACGGUGGAUGCCCUGGCAGUCAGAGGCGAUGAAGGACGUGCUAAUCUGCGAUAAGCGUCGGUAAGGUGAUAUGAACCGUUAUAACCGGCGAUUUCCGAAUGGGGAAACCCAGUGUGUUUCGUCACACUAUCAUUAACUGAAUCCAUAGGUUAAUGAGGCGAACCGGGGGAACUGAAACAUCUAAGUACCCCGAGGAAAAGAAAUCAACCGAGAUUCCCCCAGUAGCGGCGAGCGAACGGGGAGGAGCCCAGAGCCUGAAUCAGUGUGUGUGUUAGUGGAAGCGUCUGGAAAGGCGCGCGAUACAGGGUGACAGCCCCGUACACAAAAAUGCACAUGCUGUGAGCUCGAUGAGUAGGGCGGGACACGUGGUAUCCUGUCUGAAUAUGGGGGGACCAUCCUCCAAGGCUAAAUACUCCUGACUGACCGAUAGUGAACCAGUACCGUGAGGGAAAGGCGAAAAGAACCCCGGCGAGGGGAGUGAAAAAGAACCUGAAACCGUGUACGUACAAGCAGUGGGAGCACAGAGCAAUCUGUGUGACUGCGUACCUUUUGUAUAAUGGGUCAGCGACUUAUAUUCUGUAGCAAGGUUAACCGAAUAGGGGAGCCGAAGGGAAACCGAGUCUUAACUGGGCGUUAAGUUGCAGGGUAUAGACCCGAAACCCGGUGAUCUAGCCAUGGGCAGGUUGAAGGUUGGGUAACACUAACUGGAGGACCGAACCGACUAAUGUUGAAAAAUUAGCGGAUGACUUGUGGCUGGGGGUGAAAGGCCAAUCAAACCGGGAGAUAGCUGGUUCUCCCCGAAAGCUAUUUAGGUAGCGCCUCGUGAAUUCAUCUCCGGGGGUAGAGCACUGUUUCGGCAAGGGGGUCAUCCCGACUUACCAACCCGAUGCAAACUGCGAAUACCGGAGAAUGUUAUCACGGGAGACACACGGCGGGUGCUAACGUCCGUCGUGAAGAGGGAAACAACCCAGACCGCCAGCUAAGGUCCCAAAGUCAUGGUUAAGUGGGAAACGAUGUGGGAAGGCCCAGACAGCCAGGAUGUUGGCUUAGAAGCAGCCAUCAUUUAAAGAAAGCGUAAUAGCUCACUGGUCGAGUCGGCCUGCGCGGAAGAUGUAACGGGGCUAAACCAUGCACCGAAGCUGCGGCAGCGACACUGUGUGUUGUUGGGUAGGGGAGCGUUCUGUAAGCCUGUGAAGGUGUGCUGUGAGGCAUGCUGGAGGUAUCAGAAGUGCGAAUGCUGACAUAAGUAACGAUAAAGCGGGUGAAAAGCCCGCUCGCCGGAAGACCAAGGGUUCCUGUCCAACGUUAAUCGGGGCAGGGUGAGUCGACCCCUAAGGCGAGGCCGAAAGGCGUAGUCGAUGGGAAACAGGUUAAUAUUCCUGUACUUGGUGUUACUGCGAAGGGGGGACGGAGAAGGCUAUGUUGGCCGGGCGACGGUUGUCCCGGUUUAAGCGUGUAGGCUGGUUUUCCAGGCAAAUCCGGAAAAUCAAGGCUGAGGCGUGAUGACGAGGCACUACGGUGCUGAAGCAACAAAUGCCCUGCUUCCAGGAAAAGCCUCUAAGCAUCAGGUAACAUCAAAUCGUACCCCAAACCGACACAGGUGGUCAGGUAGAGAAUACCAAGGCGCUUGAGAGAACUCGGGUGAAGGAACUAGGCAAAAUGGUGCCGUAACUUCGGGAGAAGGCACGCUGAUAUGUAGGUGAAGUCCCUCGCGGAUGGAGCUGAAAUCAGUCGAAGAUACCAGCUGGCUGCAACUGUUUAUUAAAAACACAGCACUGUGCAAACACGAAAGUGGACGUAUACGGUGUGACGCCUGCCCGGUGCCGGAAGGUUAAUUGAUGGGGUCAGCGCAAGCGAAGCUCUUGAUCGAAGCCCCGGUAAACGGCGGCCGUAACUAUAACGGUCCUAAGGUAGCGAAAUUCCUUGUCGGGUAAGUUCCGACCUGCACGAAUGGCGUAAUGAUGGCCAGGCUGUCUCCACCCGAGACUCAGUGAAAUUGAACUCGCUGUGAAGAUGCAGUGUACCCGCGGCAAGACGGAAAGACCCCGUGAACCUUUACUAUAGCUUGACACUGAACAUUGAGCCUUGAUGUGUAGGAUAGGUGGGAGGCUUUGAAGUGUGGACGCCAGUCUGCAUGGAGCCGACCUUGAAAUACCACCCUUUAAUGUUUGAUGUUCUAACGUGGACCCGUGAUCCGGGUUGCGGACAGUGUCUGGUGGGUAGUUUGACUGGGGCGGUCUCCUCCUAAAGAGUAACGGAGGAGCACGAAGGUUGGCUAAUCCUGGUCGGACAUCAGGAGGUUAGUGCAAUGGCAUAAGCCAGCUUGACUGCGAGCGUGACGGCGCGAGCAGGUGCGAAAGCAGGUCAUAGUGAUCCGGUGGUUCUGAAUGGAAGGGCCAUCGCUCAACGGAUAAAAGGUACUCCGGGGAUAACAGGCUGAUACCGCCCAAGAGUUCAUAUCGACGGCGGUGUUUGGCACCUCGAUGUCGGCUCAUCACAUCCUGGGGCUGAAGUAGGUCCCAAGGGUAUGGCUGUUCGCCAUUUAAAGUGGUACGCGAGCUGGGUUUAGAACGUCGUGAGACAGUUCGGUCCCUAUCUGCCGUGGGCGCUGGAGAACUGAGGGGGGCUGCUCCUAGUACGAGAGGACCGGAGUGGACGCAUCACUGGUGUUCGGGUUGUCAUGCCAAUGGCACUGCCCGGUAGCUAAAUGCGGAAGAGAUAAGUGCUGAAAGCAUCUAAGCACGAAACUUGCCCCGAGAUGAGUUCUCCCUGACCCUUUAAGGGUCCUGAAGGAACGUUGAAGACGACGACGUUGAUAGGCCGGGUGUGUAAGCGCAGCGAUGCGUUGAGCUAACCGGUACUAAUGAACCGUGAGGCUUAACCU